rnacentral:rRNA from 1 species
UACGGAGGGUGCAAGCGUUAAUCGGAAUAACUGGGCGUAAAGCGCACGCAGGCGGUUAGAUAAGUCAGAUGUGAAAUCCCCGGGCUCAACCUGGGAACUGCAUUUGAAACUGUCUGACUAGAGUCUUGUAGAGGGGGGUAGAAUUCCAGGUGUAGCGGUGAAAUGCGUAGAGAUCUGGAGGAAUACCGGUGGCGAAGGCGGCCCCCUGGACAAAGACUGACGCUCAGGUGCGAAAGCGUGGGGAGCAAACAGGAUUAGAUACCCUGGUAGUCCACGCUGUAAACGAUGUCGAUUUGGAGUUUGUGCCAUUAUGAGCGUGGGUUCCGAAGCUAACGCGAUAAAUCGACCGCCUGGGGAGUACGGCCGCAAGGUUAAAACUCAAAGGAAUUGACGG